rnacentral:rRNA from 1 species
GACGAACGCUGGCGGCGUGCUUAACACAUGCAAGUCGAACGGAAAGGCCCUGCUUUUGUGGGGUGCUCGAGUGGCGAACGGGUGAGUAACACGGGAGUAACCUGCCCUUGGCUUUGGGAUAACUUCAGGAAACUGGGGCUAAUACCGGAUAGGAGCUCCUGCUGCAUGGUGGGGGUUGGAAAGUUUCGGCGGUUGGGGAUGGACUCGCGGCUUAUCGGCUUGUUGGUGGGGUAGUGGCUUACCAAGGCUUUGACGGGUAGCCGGCCUGAGAGGGUGACCGGUCACAUUGGGACUGAGAUACGGCCCAGACUCCUACGGGAGGCAGCAGUGGGGAAUAUUGCACAAUGGGCGGAAGCCUGAUGCAGCAACGCCGCGUGCGGGAUGACGGCCUUCGGGUUGUAAACCGCUUUCGCCUGUGACGAAGCGUGAGUGACGGUAAUGGGUAAAGAAGCACCGGCUAACUACGUG